GGGAGGAGAGGAGCCGAGCCGAGCCCGCAGCCUGCCCCUUCCGCAGGGAGAGCCCUGCGGAGGGCCCCGCCGCCGCCGCCUCCUCCUCCUCCUCCUCCUCCUCGGCGGCGGUGGUGGCGGCAGGCGAGGCGCACGUAUGUCCGCGCACGGCGCCGCCGCCGCGCAGGCGGGCGCGGCUUUUCGCUGGCACUAUGCGCGCCUUAGAGACCGCAGUGCAAGUUCAGGAGUAAUUGCAGCGACGUUACGCUUCCAGGCGCGGGCAGCGGGGCCGCAACCUGCCCGUUUGCACGAAGACACCCUGCACCGCGGUGCUGAGGACCACGAGUCCGGCAGAGCUCGCGCCGCUCAGCACCUUUCAGGAAGCCACUGAGAAGACUUCGAAUAAAUUGUCUCGGAGCCUCUUCCAGGUUCUUCUCCCGCUGCAUUUGGAGCUCGAACGCCCCGCGGGGAGGCUCCCGGGUGACCCAACACGUUACGGGUUCGUGAACCUGAUAACAGGUUCACGGCGCCUGUCGGGUCGCUGGAGAAAUGCCGUGUGCGAGGAGGGAACGUCCUUCCUGCCGGGGGCUUCCCUGCGAGGAGGGCGACGCGGCGGCCGGCUUCGCGCCGUCUGCCCAGACAUCUCCUACUGGGCUGCACUGGGAAGAGUGUUGCCAGCAGGUGGAGGGAGGUGAUCCUGCCCCUCUCCUCAGCCCUGGGGAGGCCUCAUCUCGAGUACUGCGUCCAGUUCUGGGCUCCCCAGUACACGAGAGACAUGGAGCUACUGGAGAGAGUCCAGCGUAGGGCUACGAGGAUGAUCAGAGGGCUGGAGCACCUGCCCUAUGAGGAACGGCUGUGAGAGCUGGGCCUGUUCAGCCUGGGGAAGAGAAGACUGAGGGGGGAUCUGAUCAAUGUGUACAGGUACCUGAAGGGAGGGUGUCAGGGGGACGGGGACAAACUCUUUUCAGUUGCCCCGUGUGACAGGACGAGAGGCAAUGGGCAGAAACUGAAGCACAGGAAGUUCUGCCUGACCGUGAGGGAGAAUUUCUUCCCUGUGAGAGUGACGGAGCACUGGACCAGGUUGCCCAGAGAGGUUGUGGAGUCUCCUUCUCUGGAGAUAUUCAAAGCCUGCCUGGAUGCAACCCUGUCUGCCAUGCUCUAGGUGACCCUGCUGAGCAGGGAUGUUGGACUAGAUGAUCUCCAGAGGUCCCUCCCAAUCUCAACCCUUCUGUGAUUCUGUGACAGAGGUGACACUUCCUUCCUGGGCCAGUACCCAACACUGUGGUGGCAGCAGGUGCCGAGGGGUCCAGCAGGUGGAAAACGGUGAUUCCCACAUGGGCAAAAGGGUCAUUAAUGGGCUGAGAGUAUUAAAUAGCAACAAUGCCACGGCCUCCUCCCUGUCUGCUUCUCUUUGCUUGGAGGAGCAGAUGUUCGCUGUGACCGUGUUUUCUGCAUCUAACCUGGGACUUUGCUCCUUUAACCUCUGAUAAGGCACUUUAAUAGUCUCUGACGGCAGAUGUUAUCAGGAGCCUUUGCAAUAUCCCAAAUAAAUGAUACCCACCCCA